rnacentral:misc_RNA from 1 species
CAGGAUUUGAACUCUGUAAAAUAGACACUUAAUCACUCGGAAAAGCUAUUUUUUUAUUCAUAUGCUAGUUAGCAGCUUGACCAAUUACAAAUAAUAAUGGAAUAAAAAAGAAGGUGCCCUUGGAUCCAGAUCUUCUGCUUUUCUUCUAUAAACAAAAUAUGGGGUUUCACCCUCCACAAUCCCAAAACAGAUCAACAGUUCUCAUCUCUCGGCAAUGUCUGCAACUCUAAGGAAUCUCUUUCUUUCUCUCAAUAUCUUCUCCCUCACCUUCUUUCUAUCAAUUAACUCUAUUUUCUUUCAUUCUUGUUACUCCAUUGAUGAACAAGGCCAAGUUAUUUUCACAUGGAAGAAGAGUUUAAACACCUCCACAGAUGUGCUCAAUUCAUGGAAUCCUUCAGACCCAAGUCCAUGCAACUGGUUUGGGAUCCAUUGCAACUCAUAUGGAAUGGUUACGGAGAUAAGCUUGAAAGGAGUAGAUUUGCAAGGUCCAUUACCUUCAAAUUUUCAGUCUCUCAAGUCCUUGAAGACCCUUAUCUUGUCCUCAGCCAAUCUCACCGGCAGCAUUCCAAGAGAGUUCGGUGAAUAUCAAGAGCUCAGUUUCAUUGAUUUUAGUGACAAUUCUCUCUCAGGUGAAAUACCAGGGGAAAUAUGUAGGCUAAGCAAACUGCAAAGUUUAUCUCUCAACACAAAUUUUCUUGAAGGUGAAAUUCCUUCUGAUAUUGGUAAUCUUUCAAGCCUUAUAUAUCUGACUCUUUACGACAAUCAACUCAGCGGUGAAAUUCCAAAGAGCAUUGGAGCAUUAAGCAAGCUAGAAAUUUUCAGAGCCGGUGGGAACAAAAAUCUGAAGGACGAGCUGCCCCAGGAGAUUGGGAACUGCACCAACUUGGUUGUAUUAGGCCUCGCUGAAACCAGCAUUUCUGGGAGUUUACCUUCAUCAAUUGGAAAGCUGAAAAGAAUUCAAACUAUAGCCAUUUAUACAACACUCCUAGCAGGUACUAUCCCAGAAGAGAUUGGAAACUGCAGUGAGUUGCAGAAUUUGUACGUGUACCAGAAUUCUUUAUCUGGUAUUAUUCCAUGGCGAAUCGGGGAACUUAGCAAUCUUAAGAGUCUGCUACUGUGGCAGAACAGCUUAGUGGGUUCAAUCCCAUAUGAGCUUGGGCGAUGCACAGAGCUCACUGUCAUUGAUUUUUCUGAGAAUCUUCUGACUGGAAGCAUCCCAAGAAGUUUUGGAAAUCUUUUGAAGCUUCGAGAGCUUCAGCUAAGUGUUAAUCAGUUAACAAGCACUAUUCCUGCUGAAAUCACAAACUGUACAGCUCUCACUCAUCUUGAAGUGGAUAACAAUGCCAUUUCGGGUGAGAUUCCUGCAAUUAUUGGCAACCUAAAUAGCUUGACUCUAUUCUUUGCUUGGCAGAACAAUCUAAUAGGCAAUAUUCCAAAGUCUCUAUCAGAGUGCCAGAAUCUUCAGGCUCUUGAUCUGUCAUACAACAAUCUUUUUGGUUUGAUACCAAAGCAGAUUUUUGGAUUGCAGAAUCUCACCAAGCUACUGCUAAUUUCCAAUGAUUUAUCUGGCUUCAUACCUCCAGAUAUAGGGAACUGCACCAACCUGUACAGGUUGAGGUUGAAUGGAAAUAGGCUAGCAGGCACUAUUCCAUCGGAAAUAGGAAAACUGAAGAGUUUGAAUUUCAUUGACUUGAGCGACAAUCAUCUUGUCGGAGGAAUUCCUCCAUCCAUAUCUGGAUGUGAAAACCUCGAGUUUCUUGAUUUCCAUUCAAAUGGGAUAACUGGUUCUCUACCAGAUACUCUGCCCAAAAGCCUACAGUUCGUGGAUGUUUCAGACAAUAGGCUUACAGGUCCACUGACUCAUGGCAUUGGGUCAUUGAUUGAAUUAAACAAGCUUAUCUUGGCAAAGAAUCAACUUUCAGGCGGAAUUCCAGCCGAGAUAUUAUCUUGCAGUAAGCUGCAAUUGCUCAAUCUUGGAGAUAAUGGUUUAUCUGGAGAAAUUCCGAAGGAGCUUGGUCAAAUGCCAGCACUGGAAAUCUCUCUCAAUCUUAGCUGCAACCAAUUUUCCGGUGUGAUUCCAUCUGAAUUCUCUGGUCUCAGCAAGCUUGGAGCGCUUGACAUCUCCCACAACAUGCUCAAAGGGAACUUAGAUGUUCUUGCAGACCUCCAAAACCUUGUUUCUCUUAAUGUCUCCUUCAAUGACUUCUCUGGCGAAUUGCCUAACACUCCCUUUUUCCGAAAGCUUCCGCUUAGUGAUAUUGCUUCAAACCAAGGUCUCUACAUUGCUGGAGGAGUAGUAACCCCCACAGAUAGCAUGGGACGUGCAGCACGCAAUAGAUCAGCAAUGAAACUAGUGAUGUCCAUUCUUCUCAGUGCUAGUGCAGUACUAGUUCUGCUAGCAAUCUACAUGCUUGUCCGCGCUCGAAUUGCUAAUAAUGGCCUGAUGGAAGAUGGAAACUGGGAAAUGACUUUGUAUCAGAAGCUCGAUUUCUCCAUUGAUGACAUUGUUCGAAAUCUAACAUCAUCUAAUGUUAUAGGCACAGGCAGCUCAGGGGUAGUAUACAAGAUCACAAUUCCAAAUGGGGAUUCCCUAGCAGUUAAGAAGAUGUGGUCAUCAGAAGAAUCAGGGGCAUUCAAUUCUGAAAUUCAGACGCUUGGUUCUAUCAGACACCGGAACAUCGUUCGGCUUUUAGGCUGGGGUUCAAACCGGAAUCUGAAGCUGCUUUUCUAUGACUACCUCCCAAAUGGAAGCUUGAGCUCACUUCUUCAUGGUGCUGGCAAGGGAGGAGCAGAAUGGGAAACAAGAUAUGAUAUUGUGUUAGGGGUUGCACAUGCACUUGCAUACUUGCACCAUGAUUGUUUACCGGCAAUUCUUCAUGGAGAUGUGAAAGCCAUGAAUGUACUCUUAGGACCAGGCUAUGAAUCUUAUCUAGCUGACUUUGGCCUAGCAAGAGUUGUAAGUAGCAAUUCUGAUGAUGAUUUAGCGAAACCGAGCCAGAGACCUCACCUAGCUGGUUCUUAUGGAUAUAUGGCUCCGGAACAUGCAUCGAUGCAGCGCAUCACUGAGAAAGCCGAUGUGUACAGUUUUGGUGUGGUGCUUUUAGAGGUUUUAACAGGAAGACACCCAUUAGACCCAACAUUGCCUGGUGGUGCACCCUUGGUUCAUUGGGUUAGGGACCACUUGGCAAGCAAAAAAGACCCAGUAGACAUUCUUGAUGCAAAACUUAGAGGGAGGGCUGACCCUGCAAUGCAUGAAAUGCUCCAAACAUUUGCUGUAUCAUUUCUCUGCAUCAGCUCCAGAGCUGAUGAUCGUCCAACAAUGAAGGACAUUGUUGCAAUGCUAAAGGAAAUUCGGCAUGUCGACCCUGCAAGGCCAGAAACUGACUUGUCAAAAGGAUGUUUGCCAGCAGCUCAAUCGCCAACCCCUGCUAGGAUUGUAGUGUCACAAGGAUCUUCUAACUGCUCAUUUGCUUUCUCUGAUGAUUCAACCUACGAUGGGUCAACAUUUCAGCAAUAGUUUUCAGAGCUUUCAUGUUCUAUACAUUUUCCACCACUUGAAUGAGGCAAUCAGAGGAGUAAAAAUAUUUUCACCAUAUUUGGUGUUGUAGGUUAUGAGAACUAAUUUGUUAAGAGUAAAUUCAGGGUAUGUAGUAUAUAUUAUCAAAGGUAAAAAAGAAAAAGAGAAUUUUCAGAGUUUUAAAGGGAAAGAGGAGAAAGGGGUCCAACUCAAUUGUUGUUUGAUAGCUCCAAUACUGAUGAGGGGAUUACCUUGGGAGCAGAUGAGGGCAUGUAGAAGCUGGAACAAUCAAUCAUUGGUAGUUUUGGAUCUUUGUAAUUAUAAUCUAAUGCAAGGAAUGUGAUUCUCUAUCUGAAAAUUAGAAUAGAAGCAGUCUUUCCAGCAGUGCUCACAUGGUCCCACUUUCCCUAAGCCACAUGUCCAUGUGCUGUCUGAGAAAGACUUUUCCAGUGAUAUGAAAAGAAACAUAACCAAAGAAUGCUAACCUUAAUUUAGAAGACUCUGCAUGUCUUAAUUCAGAAGCACAUAAACUGGAGCAGGACCAUUAUACCUGCUAUGAAUAGCAAAAUAAUGUAUAAGCAACUAGCUCACAUGCAGAAGUAUUGAAUUUGAGACCCACAUG